AUGGAGCGAGGCCACCCGGAGGCGUCGCGUCGGAUGCUACGCCGUAUCCGCGGCACCGACGACAUCGGCGAGGAGUACGCGGACCUAGUGGCGGCGAGGGAAAUAUCAAAGCAAGUACAGCAUCUGUGGCGCAACAUCCUGAUGCGCAAGUACCGCGCGCAGCUCACCAUGGCUGUGCUCAUCCCCUUCUUCCAGCAGGUCUCCGGCAUCAACGUCAUCAACUUCUAUGCGCCGGUGCUAUUCGAGACCCUAGGUUUCAAGGGAGACGCGUCGCUUCUCUCGUCGGUGAUGACUGGCGGCGUCCUCGUGCUCGGGUCGAUGGUGUCGAUGUUCACCGUCGACAGGCUGGGGCGGAGGAAGUUGUUCCUGCAAGGCGGCGCGCAGAUGCUGGUGUCCCAGAUCGCGGUGGGAACUCUGAUCGCGGUGAGGUUCGGGACAAGUGGCGUGGGAGAGAUGCCCAGGGGUUAUGCGGCGGCGGUGGUGCUCUUCAUCUGCGUGUACGUGGCAGGCUUCGUGUGGUCGUGGGGGGCGCUGGGGUGGCUGGUGCCGAGCGAGAUCUUCCCGCUGGAGAUUCGGUCGGCGGGGCAGAGCAUCACCGUGUCGGUGAACAUGCUCUUCACCUUCGUCAUCGCGCAGGCCUUCCUCACCAUGCUCUGCCACCUGAAGUUCGGGCUCUUCUACUUCUUCGCCGGCUGGGUGGUGAUCAUGACCGCCUUCGUCGCGCUCUUCCUUCCGGAGACCAAGAACGUGCCCAUGGAGGAGAUGGUGCACGUUUGGAAGGGACACUGGUUCUGGAGCAGGUUCAUCGGAGACGCUGACGACGUCCACACCGGAAAAUAG
rnacentral:rRNA from 1 species